GAACAGAGUGAGUAUUUCUCCAGUCGCAUUGCAUCGAUACAGGUGUCAGUUUAGCUCUCUACCCAUCUACAGGGUGCUAUAAAGAAAGUUUUGUUUUCAUGCUUGUGAUAAUAGUUAUCCGCUUAAAGGGUUUCAGAUGCAGCAAGCCUUAGGGGGAGAACCGUGUGGCGUGGAAAAAUGCAGAUUAGAUAUUCGAUCCGAUCUCACAAAGCUCAGUGAUACUCCAGAUUUAAGCGGGUUUGUCUCAGCAAGGGGCCAUGGAAAGCUCUACGUCUGUAGAGACAGUAGAUUAAGGAGCAAAAUAUUUUAGAGAAAUGGGACAGAGUGCGUCUCCUGGAUGGUUGGAUAAGUGGAAAUGACAUAAGAGGCUGUUUGGGCUACAUGCUUCUCGUUAAAAUCGAAUCUUCUGUUGGACUGAUCAGGUUCAAAGCGGUAUCAUUUGAGAAGAAAAGUGAGAGAACCGUGUGGCGUGGAAAAAUACAGAUGAGAUAUUAGCAGAUCCCAUCUCACAAAGCUAACUACUGCAGUCAUACUCCAGAUUUAAGCGGGAUUGUCUCAGCAAGGCGCCAUGGAAAGCUGCUGUACGUCUGUAGAGAUAGUAGAUAUGACUUUCAAAAAAGUUAAAAGAAGUUAUUACAGUACUCCAAAGAGAUGGCGUCUGGCUACUUUUGUAGAAGCCAGAGAUGGGCUGGAGAGGAUUAAGGAGCAAAAUAUUUUAAAGCAAUGGGACAGAGUGCGUCUCCUGGACGGUUGGAUACCUGGUCCGGGGUAUAAUUUUGAAAUGGGAAAUGACUUUUCAGGCUGUCUGGGCACUUAGCUUACCAUCGUUAUAGAAAAUAUUUCAAAUUUAUUUCCUUCUCAUUGUAUACAACAAAUAGAUUUGAUUUUUGAUUGGUGA